UACCAGCACCCCGAGUGGUCGGGACGUUUAUUGGGCCUAAAGCAUCCGUAGCCGGUUCUACAAGUCUUCCGUUAAAUCCACCUGCUUAACAGAUGGGCUGCGGAAGAUACUAUAGAGCUAGGAGGCGGGAGAGGCAAGCGGUACUCGAUGGGUAGGGGUAAAAUCCGUUGAUCCAUUGAAGACCACCAGUGGCGAAGGCGGCUUACUGGUCCGGUUCUGACGCUGAGGCGCGAAAGCGUGGGGAGCAAACAGGG
rnacentral:rRNA from 1 species